GUUAUGUCUUGGAAUAUUAAACAUGUUUAAUAUUUCUUACAACAGCUUAAGACUGUCGGCCGACGCUGUCUGAGUUGGCCUUAAUAUUUAAUUAUGCUAUGAUUAAUACGUCGUUUUGAUAUUUAUGAUGCAUUUGUAUUUCCUCAUCCUAAAUCUAUUUAAUGUAAUUUAUUUUACAGUAGAAAUUCGAAGAAACUUGGACAUUGCAACAAGUUAACCUGCCCUGCUUGGCUGAAUGACUACUCUUGCUGCCACUACUGAAUGGUUAUGGCAACUCGUGAUUCGGUAGUUCAAGCAUUCUAUUCUGGUUUAAUAUAUUUGCAAUAAAUAUUCAUUAUUUAUUUAGUAUUGUAAAAUGUUUUGAAUAAAUAUAUAUUAAUUGUA